UUCUAUUUGUUUCUUUGUUGGUUUAUUAAUUUUAGAAUUUAAUUUUUUAAUUUCUUAAAGUUAAUUACUUUUUUCUUGGUGAUUUUUAUUUCUCUUUAUUAAUUGCGGAUUAGUUUUGUCAUUAAUUGGGAAAUGUAUUCCAUUUGGAACUGGAUUAAGUUAACAUGUUAUGAAAGGUGAAUCAAGAAAAUUAAUCGUUUAAUUAUAUGUAUCUCAGGAAAGAAUUUGCUUGGAUUAUUAUUAGUGUUAAUCAAUCACCGAUCAGGCUGAUUCGUUAAUCAUGCAAACCAUUUUGUUCUUUUUGCUCAGCCAUUAUAUCAACAUCUCUCAACGUUUUACUCAUCAUCUUCAUCACCCCAACAACAACCUUUUUUUAAAAAGGUGAUUUCAAUAUAACAGUGUUUUCUUUUUUUGGUGGUAAAAUAAUUCAUUGACUGCUGCCAUUAUGCUGAUGUACAAGUUGCUGUUUUUGUUGUUGUUGUUGUUGUUAUGUUACUUUAAUAGUUUGUCAGCAAAGAAAUUAGAGAGAGAGGGAGAAAAAGCAAAUUUUCCAAUAGCCUCAGGUUAUUAUUUCCAUUCAUCCUUUUGUCUCAAGAGCUCUACUUGAUUAGCUCCGUUAUUAAUCAGCUUUCUUACUGAAUUUUCAACUGAUCACCUCAAGAUUUUUCUUCCAAAUACAAAUAUCAGUAAAGUGAGAGAGAAGGAAAAACUCUCGAAGUGUUUACCUCUCUCUCUCUCUCUCUAAUUAUUCUCUUCCUCAUCCUCCUCAUCACCAUCACCAUCAUAAUCAUCCUCAUCAUUAUCAACUUGAUGUUCUUCUAUUACUUUAUUGUUGUUAUAUCAUCUUAUUAUGAUGAUAAUAAUCACCAUCACCAGAUAAACAAGAACGUGCUUAAACACAUUGGUUUACUCUCAAUAUCAACAACUUGUAAUACAUAACCAGAAAAGAAACAUAAACAUUAGAUGUUUCUCUCUCUCUCUCUCUCUCUCUCUCUCUCUCUCUCUCUCUCUCUCUCUCUCUCUCCCCUUUCCCUCUGAUCAUCUGAUUACCCUUUUUCUUGAUCAUUAUUGUUGCUAAAUGAUUUAGAUCAUUUAGAUCAUUUUAUUUCUCUCCAGGUCAGUUUGACCUCGCUUGAUAGCUUUUACCUUGAAAAGAAAAAGGUAAGAGAUUUAUGGCCACAAUUAGCUAUCGAUGUUAGUUGUUGAUCAACCAACCGGUUCAGGGAUAUUUAAGGUGAAAGAUGAAAAUUGUAUUUCCAUGAUGAUGAUAAUGUUGAUGAUUGGACCAUUCAACCCUAAAUUUGAUCAAUAUCCUUAGUUUUAUGGUGAUGAUGAUCAGUCUAAUGGUUAAAGUAUCAAUAUAUGAAAUAAUUACUUUAACUUGUUCCUUUUUUUGUUCUUUAAUUAAUUUAAUUUACUUUAAUAGUCUUGACCAGAACAAGUUAAAUCAACACACGCAAAUCAUCAAUUUUUUUUUUCACUAAUCAAUUUGAUUUACUUUUUUUUUCUUCUAGUUUUUCCAAUAUAAUUGUAUAAAUGGUUAACUGUUGACUUUUAUUUGACGCUAAUUGUUAAUCAAUUGUUCCAGGAAUCAAUUUUGUUGGUCUGUGAUGAUUUUUAUCUUUGAUUGGUUAAUAAUAAUUGGUUGUUUUCUUUAUAAUGAUGAUUCAGUUUUUACUGAGUGUGAUUAAUUAAUUGUCUACCAGCAAUCAUGGAUACUUUUGGGAUUAGCUUCAGGUUAACCAGAAAUACGGAUGAUGAUGAUGAUGAUGAUUAUCUUCCUUUC